rnacentral:rRNA from 1 species
AUGCCCGAGCAUCUGUCGGACUUCAAGUUUCGCCCUUGCCAUUGCCUUGAAGCAGAAUCGCUUACAAAGAUGACGGCGCUGAUGAUCUCGGACGUGAGAGGGAAACUGAGGGUGUCUUCCUUGCCCAGCCUGAGGAGCACGUCCAGCAGGUCCUCGUUGUCUCUAGCGGUAGCAGCAUUCGGUACUUUGGUCUCCUUUCGAUCUUGGAUGAUGUCUCCUAGGAUGCUCUGCAUCCGGGAGUGGAGCCUCCUCAUGGCGCGGCCGGAGCUGCUCAGCCACCGCACCAGCCGGGACGACGGGAAAAGGUCCACCAAGCUGAACCCUCCCCCGAGAAUCGCCAUUACGUCGAGCUCCCGGAGGUACGCCUCCUGCUGCCGAGACUUGCCGCCGAACACCGCCCUCGCGAUGACGCUGUUGGUCAGCCUGGCCAGCCCCUUGCCGACAUCGAUGACGGCGGAGCCGGAGGACGGCGAGGCAGAGGACGCGGCGACGACCGACUCCACGAGGUGCGCGAUCUCGGCCUGCAUGAUGGACUGGAUGCGCCGCACCUGCAUCGCGCUGAGCAGCUCGACGACGCAGAUCUUUCGCAUCUGGCGCCAGUGCUCGCCGUAG